rnacentral:rRNA from 1 species
UACGGGGGGGGUAAGCGUUGUUCGGAAUUACUGGGCGUAAAGGGCUCGUAGGCGGCCAACUAAGUCAGACGUGAAAUCCCUCAGCUUAACUGGGGAACUGCGUCUGAUACUGGAUGGCUUGGAUUCGGGAGAGGAGUGCGGAAUUCCAGGUGUAGCGGUGAAAUGCGUAGAUAUCUGGAGGAACACCGGUGGCGAAGGCGGCAUUCUGGACCGAUAUUGACGCUGAGGAGCGAAAGCCAGGGGAGCAAACGGG